GCUUAGCCCUAAACUUAGAUAGUUACCCUAAACAAAACUAUCCGCCAGAGAACUACUAGCAAUAGCUUAAAACUCAAAGGACUUGGCGGUGCUUUACAUCCCUCUAGAGGAGCCUGUUCUAUAAUCGAUAAACCCCGAUAUACCUCACCAUCUCUUGCUAAUUCAGCCUAUAUACCGCCAUCUUCAGCAAACCCUAAAAAGGAAGAAAAGUAAGCACAAGUAUCUUAACAUAAAAAAGUUAGGUCAAGGUGUAGCUCAUGAGAUGGGAAGCAAUGGGCUACAUUUUCUAAAAUUAGAACACCCACGAAGAUCCUUACGAAACUAAGUAUUAAAGGAGGAUUUAGUAGUAAAUUUGAGAAUAGAGAGCUCAAUU
rnacentral:rRNA from 1 species